rnacentral:rRNA from 1 species
UACGGGGGGGGUAAGCGUUGUUCGGAAUUACUGGGCGUAAAGGCUCGUAGGCGGCCAACUAAGUCAGACGUGAAAUCCCUCGGCUUAACCGGGGAACUGCGUCUGAUACUGGAUGGCUCGAGUGUGGGAGAGGGAUGCGGAAUUCCAGGUGUAGCGGUGAAAUGCGUAGAUAUCGUGAGGAACACCAGAGGCGAAGGCGGUUACCUGGACAGUUACUGACGCUCAGGCACGAAGGCAUGGGGAGCAAAAGGG